UAUAUAUAUAAUCUAGUGAUUUCGAUGUGUUUUUAUAAUUUUUAGAAAAUGGGAUUCUACCAGAAUGUGAACAUUUAUGGUCACCUGCCUGGCCUAGGUCUAACCCAGGAGUUUGUGUUUCACUAUGGAACUUUGUCCUGUAGAUCUAUAGCAAUCCCUUGCUUUAACAACCCAGUAGACUACUAUUUUAGAUUCCAGGAUAAUAUUUUUGAUGUGCUGAUUUUGACAGAGUAAUGGUCCUGUCAGUAAACAGUGCUGCAUUUGUGAUUGUGAUAAGUUUUUUCUCUAUGCAUCCCAGGUACAAUUCCAGCACUCCCCAAGAAUGUCUAGAUUCUCUAGGAGUGCCUCUGACAUCAUUGCAUGCACAAAAGUGCUCUAUUCCAGCAGCAGCACUGUCAUGGUGAGAUCUAGUGAGAUAGAAUAUGAAUAUUGUUAGUUUUCAAAUGCGUGGAAAGAGAUUCAUAAAGGAAGAAUGGAAAAAGACAUUUGUUAUUAUUUAAAGGGGUUUAAGUCUAAAUUUGAAUAGUUUUUUUUCCUCCUUCAGCAUAGAGAUGUCUGAAUAAAUGAAGUCUGCAUGUAAAAAUGCACUGUUGGAAGUUCUGUUAGCAUGAAUUGCUGAUAACAGUGAUUUGAGUGCAAACACUUUAGAAAUCCGUCAUCCAUUCAGUCUGCCCUGAACUUUGACACUGUCAUUCUGGUGAUGAUGAGAAGGUGGAGCUACUCUUCCCAAUUUCCUGCUUUGGCAAGGCUCUCAGACCUAGAAAUGGGAUGAGUAGGCAGCUGCAUGGUGCCUCUUAACAUUGAGAUAUGUGCUCUUUUUAAGUCUUACCUCCUAAUCCGCCUUUGGGAUUAUGCUACUGGUGUCAUACUAACAUCAGAGGUGGUACAAACCCAAGGGGCUAAUUCUCUCACUCUCCUUUCCCUUGCAGAUGAUCCCAGCCCUAGACUCAGUGCACAAGCUCAGGUGGCUGAGGAUAUUCUGGACAAAUACAGGAAUGCCAUUAAACGGACCAGCCCCAGUGAUGGAGCAAUGGCAAACUAUGAAAGUACAGAGGUUAUGGGUGAUGGUGAAAGUGCACAUGAUUCUCCCCGUGACGAAGCACUGCAGAACAUCUCGGCUGAUGAUCUCCCAGACUCUGCAAGCCAAGCAGCCCACCCGCAGGAUUCAGCUUUCUCUUACAGAGAUGCAAAAAAGAAACUGAGGCUUGCUCUUUGCUCUGCGGACUCUGUUGCCUUCCCAGUGCUGACCCAUUCAACAAGGAAUGGUUUACCAGACCACACAGACCCAGAAGACAAUGAAAUAGUAUGCUUCUUAAAAGUUCAAAUAGCUGAAGCAAUUAAUUUACAAGAUAAGAAUCUAAUGGCUCAACUUCAAGAAACAAUGCGCUGUGUGUGCCGUUUUGAUAAUAGGACUUGUAGGAAACUGCUGGCUUCGAUUGCUGAGGACUACAGAAAAAGAGCCCCAUAUAUUGCUUAUCUCACUCGUUGUCGACAAGGACUACAGACCACACAGGCUCACCUGGAAAGGCUAUUGCAAAGAGUUUUGCGGGACAAAGAAGUGGCCAAUCGAUACUUUACCACUGUCUGUGUGAGAUUACUGCUGGAGAGCAAAGAAAAGAAGAUCAGGGAAUUCAUUCAAGACUUUCAGAAACUCACUGCAGCUGACGAUAAAACUGCUCAGGUAGAAGAUUUUCUGCAGUUUCUUUAUGGUGCAAUGGCCCAGGAUGUCAUAUGGCAAAACGCGAGUGAAGAACAGCUUCAAGAUGCACAACUGGCCAUUGAGCGAAGCGUGAUGAACCGGAUUUUCAAGCUCGCCUUCUACCCUAAUCAAGAUGGGGACAUACUUCGCGACCAGGUUCUUCAUGAACAUAUCCAGAGAUUGUCUAAAGUAGUGACUGCAAAUCACAGAGCUCUUCAGAUACCAGAGGUUUAUCUUCGAGAAGCACCAUGGCCAUCUGCACAAUCAGAAAUCAGGACAAUAAGUGCUUAUAAAACCCCCCGGGACAAAGUGCAGUGCAUCCUGAGAAUGUGCUCUACGAUUAUGAACCUCCUGAGCCUGGCCAAUGAGGACUCUGUCCCUGGAGCGGAUGACUUUGUUCCUGUGUUGGUGUUUGUGUUGAUAAAGGCAAAUCCACCCUGUUUGCUGUCUACUGUGCAGUAUAUCAGUAGCUUUUAUGCUAGCUGUCUGUCUGGAGAGGAGUCCUAUUGGUGGAUGCAGUUCACAGCAGCAGUAGAAUUCAUUAAAACCAUCGAUGACCGAAAGUGACCAAGACCAAGGCCCACCAAGGCAGCAGACUGUUAAUCAGACAAACAGAUCUCUGAGAAGGUGCAUCAGCUGCUUUGAAGGCUGAAGAUUGUUUUGUAUGAUACUGCACAGCAUCAGGCAUUUUAAAGCAGAUCUUUACUAAACAGGUUAAUGAGCUAACAAGCAGGUUCUCUCGUCUUUGGGCUCUUUCCUUUCUGAGUUGCAUAUUCUAUUUUCUUGUCCCCAAGUAGAGACUAGUACUACAAAAAGGGACCACAUUUUUCAAGUAUUUCUAAGUAU
rnacentral:sRNA from 1 species